rnacentral:rRNA from 1 species
CCUACGGGUGGCAGCAGUGGGGAAUAUUGGGCAAUGGUCGCAAGCCUGAACCAGCCACGCCGCGUGAAGGAAGAAGGUAUUCGGGAUGGAAACUUCUUUUAGGAGGGAAGAGCAGAAGACGGUACCUCUUGAAUAAGCCACGGCUAAAUACGGGCCAGUAGCCGCGGUAAUACGGAGGUGGCAGGCGUUGUCCGGAUUUACUGGGUGUAAAGGGCGUGCAGCGGGGAAGACAAGUCAGGUGGGAAAUCCCGGGGGUCAACCGCGGAACUGCCUUUGAAACUGUUUUUCUUGAGUACCGGAGAGGUCAGCGGAAUUCGUGGUGUAGCGGUGAAAUGCGUAGAUAUAAGGAAGAACACCAGUGGCGAAGGCGGAUUACUGGACGGCAACUGACGGUGAGGCGCGAAAGCGUGGGGAGCGAACAGGAUUAGAUACCCUAGUAGUC